GACGUAGGGCGCGAGCGUUGUCCGGAUUUAUUGGGCGUAAAGAGCUCGUAGGCGGUUCGGCAAGUCAGCUGUGAAAUCUCCACGCUCAACGUGGAGGGGUCAGCUGAUACUGCUGUGACUCGAGUCCGGUAGGGGAGUGUGGAAUUCCCGGUGUAGCGGUGAAAUGCGCAGAUAUCGGGAGGAACACCAGUAGCGAAGGCGGCACUCUGGGCCGGUACUGACGCUGAGGAGCGAAAGCGUGGGGAGCAAACAGG
rnacentral:rRNA from 1 species